AGAUUGAACGCUGGCGGCAUGCCUUACACAUGCAAGUCGAACGGCAGCACGGGAGCAAUCCUGGUGGCGAGUGGCGAACGGGUGAGUAAUACAUCGGAACGUGCCCAAUCGUGGGGGAUAACGCAGCGAAAGCUGUGCUAAUACCGCAUAAGAUCUACGGAUGAAAGCAGGGGAUCGCAAGACCUUGCGCGAAUGGAGCGGCGAUGGCAGGAUUAGGUAGUUGGUGAGGUAAAGGCGUCACCAAGCCUU
rnacentral:rRNA from 1 species